UCUGUUCCUCGACUGGGGCGGCUGGAGAUGGGAUGGGAGAGGGAGGCAGGGAUGAGGGUGUUAAUAGAGCUCUGUGUAGUGAUAGCUCCUGCUUGUCUUUAUUAGUUUGCAGAGGAAUUGUCCAGGAGCUGGAGCCGAAGGAGAAACUGGAAGAAGUGAACCUGAGCAGGCUGGACAUCCUUGUAAGCAGAGAUGAAGAGUCCUCAGCUUUCUGCCUUCUCCAUGAUUGGCUAAGUGAAGGGUAAGAGGCCACCCCAAUUGUGAGAUGGAAGGCGCCCAAGAGCCGUGAGACAGUGAGCGUUGUUGAUUCCAGGCUAUGCAGAUGCCAUGAAGCUGGGAGUGGAGCAGACGUCACCAUCAGUGAGAUAAGUGUCUGGUUUCGUGAGGACUCUUGUAACGGCCCACCUGCCUCCAGGCCAGGACUUGUCGUUAGUUGGGGCUGAGUUUGUAGGAAAAGGUUCCUGAAUAGCUGUAGUUACGAGGGAGACAAGGUCCCCAUUUUCAGGGGCUGGUCAUUUCUCUGUCCACAAGCAGUGUGUUCUCUGCAGCAGAAGGUUGGAUCCAGGGGGAUGACUCCAGCUGCUGCGCUGGCAGAGGAAUUGUCCAGGAGCCCUACCCGGAGGAGAGACUCUCAGAAGUGGACCUGAUCACCCUGAACAUCCUUCUAAGCAGACAUGAACAGUCCUCAGCUUUCUCCCUCCUGCAUAACUGGCUUACCAAGAGAAAAGAAGUCACGCGUCAGAGUCUACUGUCCUCAUACAAUGGAAAGCGAGCAAGAGCGACGAGACCACGAGCAUUGUUGAUGCGAUGCAAAAGCCGUCCAUCUGUGAGUGGAACCGCCACCACUCUCAGUGAGAUAAGUGUCUGGUUUGGUGGUUGCUCUGCUCACGGCCCACCUCCUGGUAGGGACACCCCUUUAGCUAGGGCUGGGUUUGUAAGAAAAGGUUCCUAACUAGUGGUUACGAGGGAGACAAGGUCCCCAUUUUCAGGGGCUGGUCAUUUUUCUGACCACAAGCAGUGUCCUCUGCUGCAGAAGGUUGGAUCCAGGGGGAUGACUCCAGCUCGUGAGUUUCUUGACUCCCUCCCAUGUUUUUCUCUCUCUCUCCUCUGUGUUGGCCAACACACGCUCUCUGUCUGUCUGUCUUUCUGUCCUUGCCUCCUC